rnacentral:rRNA from 1 species
CCUACGGGGGGCUGCAGUGGGGAAUAUUGGACAAUGGGGGGAACCCUGAUCCAGCCAUGCCGCGUGUGUGAAGAAGGCCCUCGGGUUGUAAAGCACUUUCAGUGAGGAAGAACGCCUGGUGGUUAAUACCCAUCAGGAAAGACAUCACUCACAGAAGAAGCACCGGCUAACUCCGUGCCAGCAGCCGCGGUAAUACGGAGGGUGCGAGCGUUAAUCGGAAUUACUGGGCGUAAAGCGCGCGUAGGUGGCUUGAUAAGCCGGUUGUGAAAGCCCCGGGCUCAACCUGGGAACGGCAUCCGGAACUGUCAAGCUAGAGUGCAGGAGAGGAAGGUAGAAUUCCCGGUGUAGCGGUGAAAUGCGUAGAGAUCGGGAGGAAUACCAGUGGCGAAGGCGGCCUUCUGGACUGACACUGACACUGAAGUGCGAAAGCGUGGGUAGCAAACAGGAUUAGAUACCCCUGUAGUC